GCUUUGAGUCUGACUGGAGGGCCCGUUAUCUGCACCUUUUCCAUAUUGCUGUUCAUGUAACAGUGGGAGUGUUAGAGGAAUGUGUCCUCCUAACAAGGACACACACUGACGGUAUUUGGCACUUGUUAUGACCUACUGCUGACAGUCAGUGCUUCAGUUUUAUGUAACAUAUGUUUUAUUGCAGUAAUGACACCAGGAGACAAUGCAAAAUCAAGAACCAUGAGCAUGUCUGCUGUUUGGUGCUAGGCACAAAAGCUCUCUAACCUUUCUGUGGACAGAAUCCAUUCAUAUGUUAACAUAUGGCUACGCAGCCAUCGGUGUAAACACCAUGCAACCGUUAACUGUUAAGCGCUGCUCAGCUUUCUCCAACAACAUCCUCAUUUCGGUCUCUUUACCUCUCCCAUGCUCUGUCUCUGCUGACUCUGGCUAUGUUGCCUGCUCGCCUGGCUCCAAUUCUGGUGCCCAUUCCAGCUCCCCAUCUCCAUUUCCCCCACCCCAGGCCUGAAAACCUCCACUUCCUGGCAGUCCAAACUCCUGUGCUGAUACAAACACUCCCCUGGUGCUCUGAGCUACUGUAUAUUUAACAUUUUAGAUAUUGAUAUUAGAUAUUGGCCUGGUAUGAAUAUGAAUAUAUUUUCCAGUUUAAAUGUACUUUGUUUUCAUUUGGACUAUAAGUAACUAUGUAAUCAGUGCCUUCAGCUGUGCAGCGUGACAUCUGUGGAAUUCAGCUGCACAGGGGAGGUGCUUAAGUAAGAAAAUGUCCAAUUAUUUUAACAUUUGAAUAAAG
rnacentral:lncRNA from 1 species